AGUGAACGCUGGCGGUAGGCCUAACACAUGCAAGUCGAACGGCAGCACAGUAAGAGCUUGCUCUUACGGGUGGCGAGUGGCGGACGGGUGAGGAAUACAUCGGAAUCUACUUUUUCGUGGGGGAUAACGUAGGGAAACUUACGCUAAUACCGCAUACGACCUACGGGUGAAAGCAGGGGAUCUUCGGACCUUGCGCGAUUGAAUGAGCCGAUGUCGGAUUAGCUAGUUGGCGGGGUAAAGGCCCACCAAGGCGACGAUCCGUAGCUGGGCUGGGAGGAUGAUCAGCCACACUGGAAGUGAGACACGGUCCAGAGUCCUACGUGAGGCAGAAGUGGGGAAGAUUGGACAAAGGGCGGAAGCCUGAACCAGCGAUGCCGCGUGGGUGAAGAAGGCCUUCGGGUGGUAAAGCCCUUUUGUUGUGAAAGAAAAGCAGCAGGUUAAUACCCCGCUGUUCGGACGGUACCCAAAGAAUAAGCACCGGCUAACUUCGU
rnacentral:rRNA from 1 species